rnacentral:tRNA from 1 species
GGAGAGCAUGGGCGAUCGGUAGCCCAGAAUCCUGCUGAGAUUCCGUCGCUUCGGCACAUCGGGGUUCGAGUCCCCGGCUCUCCGCCA